UGGGGAAUAUUGGACAAUGGGCGCAAGCCUGAUCCAGCCAUGCCGCGUGUGUGAAGAAGGCCUUUUGGUUGUAAAGCACUUUAAGCGAGGAGGAGGCUACUUGGAUUAAUACUCUAGGAUAGUGGACGUUACUCGCAGAAUAAGCACCGGCUAACUCUGUGCCAGCAGCCGCGGUAAUACAGAGGGUGCGAGCGUUAAUCGGAUUUACUGGGCGUAAAGCGUGCGUAGGCGGCUUUUUAAGUCGGAUGUGAAAUCCCUGAGCUUAACUUAGGAAUUGCAUUCGAUACUGGGAAGCUAGAGUAUGGGAGAGGAUGGUAGAAUUCCAGGUGUAGCGGUGAAAUGCGUAGAGAUCUGGAGGAAUACCGAUGGCGAAGUCAGCCAUCUGGCCUAAUACUGACGCUGAGGUACGAAAGCAUGGGGAGCAAACAGG
rnacentral:rRNA from 1 species